UACGGAAGGGGCAAGCGUUGUUCGGAAUCAUUGGGCGUAAAGGGCGCGCAGGUGGUUCUGUAUGUCUACCGUGAAAGCGUACGGCUCAACCGUAUUUUGUCGGUAGAAACUGCAGGACUUGAGGCUGGGAGGGGCUGGUGGAAUUCCCUGUGUAGCGGUGAAAUGCGUAGAGAUGGGGGGAGAACACUCGUGGCGAAGGCGGCCAGCUAGACCAGUUCUGACACUGAGGCGCGACAGCGUGGGGAGCAAACAGG
rnacentral:rRNA from 1 species